CCUUCCCUGCCCCAUAGGAUGGCCCCCGAAGUCAUCCUGGCCAUGGACGAGGGACAAUACGACGGCAAAGCCGACGUCUGGUCCUUGGGCAUCACCUGCAUCGAGUUGGGUGAGGACUCGGGGGGCAGCGGAGGUACUUAUGGGGCUGAGCCCCACGGCGCCGCCGCCCCCUAAGUUUUCUGGCCCCACAGCGGAGAGGAAACCCCCCCUUUUCAACAUGAACGCGAUGAGUGCCUUAUACCACAUAGCGCAGAACGAGUCCCCCGUCCUCCAGGCCAAUCACUGGUGAGAUCCCUCCCCCUCCAACCAAUCAACCUUCUCCCACUCCCCCGCCUUCCUUCCGGGACGCGUGGGUCCGCCCUAGAUCCGUGGGGCAGACCCCCUAGACCCCAUAACUACCUUCAGUUAUGGGGCGGCGGGUUCCUUACGGGCGGUAGGUCGGAAUAUUUCCGCAAUUUCGUGGAUUCGUGUCUCCAGAAGAUCCCACCCGAUCGUCCCACCUCCGAGGUUCUCCUCAAGGUAGAGCUCGAGUUGGAGGGGGGGGGGAGGGGGGUUGGGGAGGGUGGGGGUCACCGUGGGAUGUCCCCAACUUCGGGGGGGACGUCCCCCCAACCGUCUUCCUGCCCCCCAACUUUGGUGUCCCUUUCUCCAGCAUCGGUUUCUCCUCCGAGAACGUCCCCAGAGGGUGGUCCUGGACCUCAUCCAAAGGACCAAAGACGCCGUCCGGGAGUUGGACAACCUCCAGUAUCGCAAGAUGAAGAAGAUCCUCUUCCAGGAGGCCCCCAACGGACCCGAUCCCGGCGAGGAAGAGGAGGAGGUGGAGCCCUUCCUGCCGCGGGCGGGGACGGUGGGGAGCAUGGAGAGCAGCCACUCGGUCCCCAGCAUGUCCAUCAGCGCCUCCAGCCAGAGCAGCAGCGUCAACAGUUUGGCCGACCCUUCGGAGGAGGAGGAGGAGGAGGAGGUGGAGGAAGACGAUGAAGAAGACGAGGAGGAGGAGGAGGAAGAGGAGGAAGAAGGUCCCCACUUGGCCAUGCUGCAGGAGGGGGAGCACACGGUCACCUCCAACAGCUCCGUCAUCCAUUGCUUGCCCGUGAGUUGGCUUCAACGGGGGGGACGGAGGGAUGGGGGGCCACCACCUUGGGGACGUCCCGAUGGAGGGCCACCACCUUGGGGAAGGUCCAGAUGGGGGGCCACCACCCUGGGGGGCGGUUCUGAGGCGUGGGGCCACCACCGUGGGGACGUCCCGAUGGGGGGCCACCGUGAUAGAGAAGUUCUGAUGGGGGUUCUACCAUCUCUAGAAGGUGCUAAGAUGGGGGGCCACCACCAUGGGGAUGUCCCGAUGGAGGGCCGCCACCUUGGGGAGGUCAUUAUGGGGUUCCACCACCAUGAGGAAACCCCAUUGAGAUGCACCACGGGGAGAUCCCAUUGAAAUCCGCCACCCUGGGGAGGUCCUUAUGGGGGUCCACCACCACGAGAAGGUCUUUAUGGAGGUCCACCACCCUGGGGAGGUCGUUAUGGGGUUCCACCACUAUGAGGAAACCCUAUUGAGAUCCACCACGGGGAGAUCCCAUUGAGAUCCACCACCCUGGGGAGGUCGUUAUGGGGGUCCACCACCACGAGAAGGUCUUUAUGGAGGUCCACCACCUUGGGGAGGUUGUUACGGGGUUCCACCACUAUGAGGAAACCCUAUUGAGGUCCAUCACGGGGAGAUCCCAUUGAGAUCCACCACCCCGGGGAGGUCGUUAUGGGGGUCCAUCUCUAUGGGGCAGCCCCACUGAGAUCUCUUACCCCAGGAACGUCCUGUUGGGGGUCCACCACUAUGAGGAAACCCCAUUGAGAUCCACCACGGGGAGAUCCCAUUGAAAUCCACCACCCUGGGGAGGUCCUUAUGGGGGUCCACCCCCACGAGUAGGUCGUUAUGGGGGUCCACCACCCCGGGGAGGUCAUUAUGGGGGUCCACCACCAUGGGGCAGCCCCAUUGAGAUCUCUUACCCCAAGGGACGUGCUGUUGGGGGUCCAUCACUUUGAGGAAACCCUAUUGAGAUCCACCACGGGGAGACGCCAUUGAGGUCCACCACCCUGGGGAGGUCAUUAUGGGGGUCCACCACCAUGAGAAGGUCUUUAUGGAGGUCCACCACCCUGGGGAGGUCGUUACGGGGUUCCACUACUAUGAGGAAACCCUAUUGAGAUCCACCACGGGGAGAUCCCAUUGAGAUCCACCAC
ensembl:lncRNA